GUCCACGUCACAUGCCCAUGCAGCCGAGCUGGUCAGCAUGCAUGAGGAAGAGUUCGUGGAUGCCAUCAACUCGGCCUUUUGGAGUGAUGUUCACCACACAGACUUCGUCGACUCAGCUAGUGCCAUGGUGCACCAUGCUGUCGCCCUUCUGAAGCCCACUAAGGUCUCCGCCCGCCAGCUGCCCCCAAGCGUAGCCAAGGUGGAUGCCAAGAGCAGAGCCCUCUUUCCUCUGGGGCUGGGACAUGCUGCUGAGUACGUCCGGCCUCGGGUGGCCCUCAUCGGCCCACAGAGUCCAUCCACUUGCAGGACAAGGUGUCAACAUGGGCUUCGGGGAUAUUUCCAGCUUGAUUCAUUAUCUCAGUACAGCAGCCUUCAAUGGCAAGGACUUAGGCUCCAUGAGCCACCUCACAGGCUAUGAAACAGACCGACAGCGUCAUAAUACUGCUCUUCUGGCUGCUACUGACCUGCUGAAAAGGCUCUACUCUACCAGUACCACUCCGCUAGUGUUGCUCAGGACCUGGGGCCUGCAGGCCACUAAUGCAGUGUCUCCUCUCAAAGAACAGAUUAUGGCCUUUGCGAGUAGAUGAGGGCCCCUCUUCUGGGGACCAUGGUGAUGACAAAGAACACCUAGCCCUGGGACAUCACAGGCCUUCCCAGUAUGGACUAAUAAACUUACACUGG
rnacentral:lncRNA from 1 species